UACGGAGGGUGCAAGCGUUAUCCGGAUUUACUGGGUUUAAAGGGUGCGUAGGUGGGCAGGUAAGUCAGUGGUGAAAUCUCCGAGCUUAACUCGGAAACUGCCAUUGAUACUAUCUGUCUUGAAUAUCCUGGAGGUAAGCGGAAUAUGUCAUGUAGCGGUGAAAUGCUUAGAUAUGACAUAGAACACCAAUUGCGAAGGCAGCUUACUACGGGAUUAUUGACACUGAGGCACGAAAGCGUGGGGGAGUCAAAACAGG
rnacentral:rRNA from 1 species